GAUGAGUUCUCCCUGAGACUUUAAGUCUCCUGAAGGAACGUUGAAGACGACGACGUUGAUAGGCCGGGUGUGUAAGCGCAGCGAUGCGUUGAGCUAACCGGUACUAAUGAACCGUGAGGCUUAACCUUACAACGCCGAAG
rnacentral:rRNA from 7 species